AAUCUUCUUGAUGACAAGCAGACAUUACUGCAAAGGGCAGGAAGUCCUGGGCACCUGGAGUUGGAGCUCCGUGGUAGAGUUUGCCCAGCACCUGGCCAACACCACAGGAGAGAAAGAAAAAUGGACAAUGAGAAGAACCAAAGCUUUGUGUGUAAAACAUAAAGCAUCGUGACUGUGGCUGCGCUGCCACAGCUGAUACAGGAGAUUGACACUGGGAAGUGGAGUCCUUGCCGUGAUGAUAACCCGGACCAGGUGGUUCAUGGGCUUUUGGAGCUGAUUUGUGAGAGGAAUGUGGAAGAGUUUGAAGCUGUGGGCCAAAGAACUAGAGUGCUGCGAGCAGAGCUUGGUAUGCCUCUGCCAUCGUGGCAAUGGUCAUGGAGUGAUGAAGUCAGAGGUGCACUCUCCAGAGCCAACACCAAGCUUUUUGAAUCGUUAGCUUUAAAAUCUGGUCCAAGAGAAAGAAAGAACCUGCAGCGAGUUUGAGGGCAAAUGAAAAGUCAAAGGCAGUGUGCCCUUGCUUUAAGUGUUUGGGGAUGAUAUAAGGAAGACACACAAAACUCUUAACAAGGAAAAAGAUCUGAUGGUGUCAGCAGUUUA